GCAAUGGACGAAAGUCUGACCGAGCAACGCCGCGUGAGUGAAGAAGGUUUUCGGAUCGUAAAGCUCUGUUGUAAGUCAAGAACGUGUGUGAGAGUGGAAAGUUCACACAGUGACGGUAGCUUACCAGAAAGGGACGGCUAACUACGUGCCAGCAGCCGCGGUAAUACGUAGGUCCCGAGCGUUGUCCGGAUUUAUUGGGCGUAAAGGGAGCGCAGGCGGUCAGGAAAGUCUGGAGUAAAAGGCUAUGGCUCAACCAUAGUGUGCUCUGGAAACUGUCUGACUUGAGUGCAGAAGGGGAGAGUGGAAUUCCAUGUGUAGCGGUGAAAUGCGUAGAUAUAUGGAGGAACACCAGUGGCGAAAGCGGCUCUCUGGUCUGUCACUGACGCUGAGGCUCGAAAGCGUGGGUAGCGAACAGGAUUAGAUACCCUGGUAGUCCACGCCGUAAACGAUGAGUGCUAGGUGUUAGGCCCUUUCCGGGGCUUAGUGCCGGAGCUAACGCAAUAAGCACUCCGCCUGGGGAGUACGACCGCAAGGUUGAAACUCAAAGGAAUUGACGGGGGCCCGCACAAGCGGUGGAGCAUGUGGUUUAAUUCGAAGCAACGCGAAGAACCU
rnacentral:rRNA from 1 species